rnacentral:lncRNA from 1 species
GACCGGUUCAGGGUCCACCGGUUCCACCACGUCGAGUUCUGGUGCACCGACGCCACCAACGCCGCCCUCCGAUUCUCCUGGGGACUCGGCAUGCCCAUGGUAGCUAAGUCCGACCUCUCCACCGGCAAUCAAACCCAUGCCUCCUACCUUCUCCGCUCCGGCGACCUCAAUUUCCUCUUCACCGCCCCGUACUCCCCCACCCUGACCCGAACCGCCGACCCGGCCCGGCCCAGCAACUCCAGCGCCUCCAUCCCCACCUUCGACCACACCGCCUCCCGCGCCUUCUCUGCCACCCACGGCCUCGGCGUCCGCGCCGUCGCCAUCCAAGUCGAAGACGCCGUCUCCGCCUUCACCACCAGCGUCGCCCACGGCGCCAAACCCUCGGCCGCCCCCAUCCUCCUCGACAACCGCGUCACCAUCGCGGAAGUCCAACUCUACGGCGACGUUGUUUUGCGGUACGUCAGCUACUCGGACCACAACCACCUCACAGAUCCGGACCCCAACCUCUGGUUCCUCCCCGGAUUCGAACCCCUACCGUCGUCGUUUCCAAUCGACUUCGGAAUCCGCCGCCUCGACCACGCCGUCGGCAACGUGGAGGAUCUCAAAUCGGUGAUAUCGUACGUCAAAGGCUUCACCGGAUUCCACGAGUUCGCCGAGUUCACCGCCGACGACGUCG